AAACAGCAAAAUGGAUCCUAAAUUAUCAGAGGAUGAAACACAGCACGAAGAAAACUGUGCUGGUACAUCAGGGGUCGUAGAUGUAACAUCUGAAAUUCCACCAUCAUUGGCUGUAAUAAUGUCUAUUAUAUAUAAUCAUCAGCACAACAUUCAAGAGAUGGAAGGCAAACUUAAAGAGCUCUUGCAGAAUCAGGAGGUUUUAACUGAAGGACUGCGAGGUGAAAAUGAAAGAUUUAGAGAAGCAGUGGCAACCUUCAACUUACCAGCACUGUUUGCUGAAGUAUCCGUGUACACAAAGAAGCUAGCAUACCUCAAGGAAGAAAUGUGUAACAUAACUGAUCGCACCGCUCGUCUUAAGAGACGAGCAUUGCGCCUUCAGCAACAGCAGCAACAGAAAGCCUUAAAUCAGGAACAGCAACGAGCCCAAUUGGCCGAACGUGAAAAACACCUAAUAGCUCGUCCAGCCUGGGCACCACAGCAAGAUGGCCAGUAGAGGAGACCAAAGAAUGUAAUAAAAACAUAGAGAACUGUUUCUUAGAUCUAAAAGUAUGCUAAACACGAAUUGCAGUAAAGCAGAGGAUUUGGCUAAUUUUUAUUUUUAUUGGCCAUUUGGCUGUUCCCCACCGAGGGAGGGUGACCCGAAAAAAGAAGAAACACUUUCAUCAUCACUCACUCCAUCACUCUCAUGCCAGAGGCAUGUCGAUACUACAGUUCAAAAACUGCAACAUUUCUCCACCCCUCCUUCAGAGUGCAGGCACUGUAUUUCCCACCUCCAGGAUUCAAGUCCGCUAACCAGUUUCCCUAAUUUUGUGGUACGUAAAAAACGCAAGUGACCAGCCAAUUUGGGCCUCUAGGCAGAAAUUGCUGGUAAAGAUUAAGAUAUAUUUAUAAACCAGCCACUGAAAGUAUAGAGGUGUGAAUUACUGUGCUGUUAAAAAAUGUGUGAUGUAUUAAAGUACAGAAAUGAGCAUCCCAUUAUAAUAAGCAGGAAAAUAAAGUCAGUGGAUCUAACUUCAUGUGCAGUGUAAUCAGCUCUCUAAAUUCAUAUCAUUGACUUAUGCCUAUUAUAAAUUUAAAAAGAA